AGAGAAACAAUGGGCGUCGAUCUGACUGGUAUCUCCAAGAAGAGUCGUGUGAUUCGCCAUCACACGUACUCGACGAACCCCUACAUCAAGCUGCUGAUCAAGCUGUACAAGUUCCUCGCGAAGCGCACAAGCUCUGGCUUCAACAAGGUCGUGUACCAGCGCCUGAUCAAGAGCCGCAGCAACCGCGCCCCGAUAUCGCUGAGCCGCAUCGCCGUCGUCAUGAAGCGCAAGGCUGUUUUUACCGCGAAGAGCAAGGCGGCCCCGAUCGCCGUCGUGGUCGGUGACGUCCUGGAUGAUGUGCGCAUGGCCCGCAUCCCCGCGAUGCGCGUCUGCGCCCUGCGCUUCUCCAAGAGCGCGCGCCAGAGCAUCGUCGCCGCCGGCGGUGAGUGCCUGACCUUCGACCAGCUCGCCAUGAUUGCUCCCACUGGCAAGAACACGUACCUGCUGCGUGGUCGCAAGUCUGGCCGCGAGUCGGUGCGCCACUUCGGCGCCUCUGGCGUGCCCGGCAGCCACUCGAAGCCUUACGCGACCAACCGCGGCAAGGAGACGAAGCGCGGCCGCCGCACGGGCCGCUCGUACAAACGCAAGGCCUUCCGCCACGUCUAAGGAGUAUGGCGGUAAUUCGCGAUGGUGGGCGCGGCUGUGCGACGGCGUGCGCGCCAGCCUACACGCGCUCGCGUCCCUUCAGUGGGAGGUGCGUGCCUCUCUCGGUGAUGUCUCUCCCCUGUGACGUUUCUCUUCUCUUUUCGCUUGUUUGUAUUUUUUUUUUCGCUCCUUCGUUCACGCAUUGACCAAACAAGAAUCUUCGGAAAACAAAAACGACUCAGGAGAGGACACCGCAUCUCCUCUGCCCCCCUCCCUCUCUCUCGCUACCCGCUCUCUGCUGCGGCUACGCGACCGCCUCCGACCCCCUCGUCAUCCUCUUUCUUCCGUGUGUGCGUGUGCAGAUACACGGGUGAUGGUAGAGGAUGCAGAGUGCACGGGAGGUGAUCUGGGGCGGACGACGUGGGCGAGGAGGAGCAGCGAAAGGCGUGUGUGUUUCUGCGCAUGCAUGUGCGUUUACUGUGUGGGUGCUGUGUUGUGCAUGGAGGAAAGCGGGGUACGGGGGUAGCGAGGAGCAGGCACGCUCCAUCGUCUCUUGCCUUCUGAGGACCCUCGUGUGUUCUCGCCACUCUCCCUCCUCCUGUGCGAGGGAGACGGAAGGGGAGAAGAGGGAUGUGAGGGGUGAAGGGCAGGACAAUGAUGAUGGUUAUCGUGGGAGAGAGAGCAUGAGGGGGGGGGACUGUGAGAGUGAAGGCGAAGGAAGGUGAGGAGAAGGAGGGGCGGCCGGAUUGGCGGACACAAAUGUGCAUGCGUGUGUGCGGCAUGCGCUCCUCUUCCUUCCCCUCCCGCUCUGCCUCUCUGCCCCGUCGCCCCCUUCUACUUCCUCCGCACGGGCCUGCAUUUCACUUCGACGCCCCCCCCCCCACACACACACACACACACACCAGCACCGACGCACGCGGGUGCGCAGCUGUGUAACCCUCUCUGUUCUCUUGGCUGCUAAUACCAAAGCGCGUGCUCUUCUUUGAUCCGUCUCCGCCGCUAAUACUACUGGCUGCCUCGCUCCUCUCCCCACCGCGACGUCCUCUUGUUCUCUUUUCCCUCUGCUGGGUGCAUGUCUACUCUCGCCACACACACACACACACACGCAUCAAAAAAAAACACCAAAACGCGUCAACUCACUCACAUGCACGUCUUAACAUGUGCAG
rnacentral:misc_RNA from 1 species